UGGCUCAGAUGGUAAAGCAUCUGCCUGCAAUGCAGGAGACUGGGGUUCGAUCCCUG
rnacentral:tRNA from 1 species